rnacentral:rRNA from 1 species
UACGGAGGGUGCGAGCGUUGUCCGGAAUCACUGGGCGUAAAGGGCGCGUAGGCGGCUCAGUAAGCGUGCGGUGAAAGCCUGGGGCUCAACCCCGGGUCGGCCGUGCGAACUGUCGAGCUCGAGCACUGUAGAGGCAGGCGGAAUUCCGGGUGUAGCGGUGGAAUGCGUAGAGAUCCGGAAGAACACCGGUGGCGAAGGCGGCCUGCUGGGCAGUAGCUGACGCUGAGGCGCGACAGCGUGGGGAGCAAACAGG